UUCAUUUUUACUAUUUUUCCCUCGGGGACGUUUUUGGUACCCCGAGCCAUGGGAUUAGCUUAAGUCGUUUAAGCCUCAAGGAAACAAAAGCAUAAACACUUAAACACCUCAAUGAACCAACUCUCUCUCUCUCUCUCUCUCUCUCUCUCUCAGCUUCCCUAAGUAACUUCUUGAAGAACUAAGUAGAUUUUGGCUGGAAACUAAGGAAUUGAAGGCUCGGGAUUAGAAUUGGGAUAACUUGUGGCUAGGGGGAUCACCAUUCAUAGCUAAGGGUGGAAUUGGGAUGGUUUUGGUUGAAUUUGGCUGAUGAAAAAUGGAGGAAAUCUGGGUUCGCAGGGCUAAGUCACGACCCUAUUCUUGAGGGGCCGCGACUCAACCGAACUCAGGGCCCUUGGGGGCUUCUGUCUGGGAGGCGCACCGCGUGUAAUGCCGCGGAUUCCCUAUUAUGGUUAAUGGCUGGAUUAGAAGGCCGGGAGGGCCAUAACUAUUUAAUUAUGUCAUUAAAUGUGUUUAUGCAUGUUUAAAAGAAUUAUAUUAUAAUAUGAUGUUAAAUGCACGCAUGUGAGUCUACAUUUGUUUA